rnacentral:rRNA from 1 species
CAGAGGGUGCAAGCGUUAAUCGGAAUUACUGGGCGUAAAGCGUGCGCAGUCGGUUAUUCAAGUCGGGCGUGAAAGCCCCGGGCUCAACCUGGGAAUUGCGUUCGAUACUGUCUAGCUAGAGUUCGGCAGAGGGAAGUGGAAUUUCAGGUGUAGCGGUGAAAUGCGUAGAUAUCUGAAGGAACAUCAGUGGCGAAAGCGACUUCCUGGACCAGAACUGACGAUCAGGCACGAAAGCGUGGGGAGCAAACAGGACUAGAUACCCUGGUAGUCCACGCCAUAAACGAUGACAACUAGACGUUGGGGGCAUAUGGCCCACAGUGUCGCAGCUAACGCGUUAAGUUGUCCGCCUGGGGAGUACGGCCGCAAGGUUG